rnacentral:lncRNA from 1 species
GUCUUUGCCUGUAGGUGGGGACCACCUUAACCUGAGGUGGCCUCGGGCGUGGGGCGAGCUGGCGAGUCUCAUGAAAGGGUCCCCACCCUGUGGGGGUCUCCUCAGCAUGGGGUUUGUGCGUUCCAUCACAGCAGUCGGAUGUGACAGGUGCAAAGCCCUUCAGAGUCCCUCAUUUCACCAGGCCUCAGACUCGGCGGGACAGAACGUUACAUCGAAGAGACACCUGCUUCGUUCCUCCCGGAAAGGGGAGUGCACGUUCCUCGGGAAAGGACACCGAAGUUGCAUGCUUUGCAAAGACUUCACGAGAGCAUCACGUAAACGUUCCGUCAAAAGACUUCACAAAAUGCAGAGGAAUUGCACUUGGUCAUACACUUAGAUGGCUCUGCGGGUAUCUUAAGGAAUCGCUAGACUUUACAAAAUCAUGGCGGCUGAUUCCUGCCAAUGAGGAAAGUCUCAUCCAAAGAACAGUCUUCGACCUUGUAUCAAGAUAAGCGAUUGAGUGAAGAUUUAAAUUUGUAAAUGUUUGAGGCGCGCUCCUACGUAUCCUUUACAACUGACUUAUUUUUAUUAGUGAGGCAAUUCGACAGCCCCCCUGGGUGGAGUACGAGGCUGCCGCUGUAUUUGGGACGCCCCCGGUGAACUUGGGGUGGGUUGUCCGUGCCGCGCCAGCCCCCCUCACUCCCGGGCAGAGCGCCCUCCAGGCAGGAGGCCAGGCACGUCUUGACCUAUUACAUCAUCGUCGUUUUCCUAGUAAUUAAAUGUGCAUUCUUCACAAUGAAAGGUUACAGACAUCAAGAGCUUCCUGGCAGCAUAACUGACAAGGAUUUGUGGAGAAGAUCCAUGUACACGCGUAACCAGCAUGCUACCGUGUUCGGAGACAACACAACGAUGACAGACGCAAAGAACAAAUGUUAAAGGUAGCUAUUUUCCAAUAUUGUUUGAAAAGUACGUAUCUAAUUAGAGACGAAUCUGUUUAAACUCACCAGUAAAAUAAAGAAAGAAAAAAAAAAAAAACUAGGUCA